CUCCAUUGCACUUUCAUGUGGGCCUGGUUGCCCAGGACCAUCAGGGCUGCCUCCAGAACAGCUGCAGUUGGCGACUGUGAAGACUGGUGGAGGGGAGAAGUGGGGUUUUUGCAUGAGUCUGUGUCACAGUGUUGGGUAUUCGGCGGAGGGACCAAGCUGACCGUCCUAGGUCAGCCAACGGUUGCCCCUGCAGUCACUCUCUUCCCACCCUCUGCUGAGGAGCUCCAGACCAAAAAGGCCACACUGGUGUGUCUGAUGAGUGACUUCUAUCCCAGUGAUGUGACUGUGGCCUGGAAGGCAGAUGGAAAUCCUGUCACUCAGGGUGUGGAGACCACCAAGUCUUCCAAACAGACCAACAGCAAGUAUGUGGCCAGCAGCUACCUGACCGUUACACCGGACCAGUGGAAAAGUUUCAAAGCAGUCACCUGCCAGGUCACACAUCAAGGGAAAACCGUGGAGAAGAGCGUGUCUGCUUCCGAGUGUUCCUAGGUACCCAUCGCUAAACCCACUCUCAGGGACUGACACCGAAGGUCCCCAGAAGGUGCCCCAUCUCCUAUCCCUAGCACUCCAAGUCCUUCCCUCUGAUCACAAUGACUGCUCAAUAAAAUACUGAUUGUCUAUCAA